rnacentral:lncRNA from 1 species
AAAUCCUCCAAAAAUACUCCUCAGUCUCCAGAUCUGAAAAUUUAAAAUUUCAGAUCCAAAUUCUUUAUAUUUUAGCUUUCAUUAAAGAAAAAACCAAAAAAAAGCAAUAGAGAAUUUCCACAAAACCAAAAAAAAAAAAACUCAGAAACCCAAAAUAUGUUACUGCUUCAUUGAAGUUGAGUUCAGUUUUCUAGUUAGCAGUCUCAUAAUUGGUAUAUCAAAUUAGGUUGAGUUAGCUUGGGGUCGAUUGUUAGAUGUUUUGAGCUGGAUUGAAAUUCAACAAGUCAGUUGGUAGUUAGCUGCGGGUUUGAAUUGUUGUGGUGGUCGUUAGGAUUUUUAUCCUUCAUCUAGGCUUAUUCGAAUUUCAUGUUCGUUGAAUUAUUUGCUAUGCUAAUUACAAAAUAUCUGGGUUUAAAUUCACUGAGAUGUGCACUGGCUACUGCCUGAUUUGCUGUUGAAUCUGCUGUGUUUUACUGCUCUUGACUCCUUCUUCUUCUGUUUCCUCUCAAAAUCCAAGUACUAUCCUUGUCCCUGCAUGAAUUACGAAGGAUCUGUGUAAUUUGAAUUGAAUAAUCAAAUGAAGAACUGUGCUUAAAUGAUUGCUGAAUUCACCGGAUUUCUAUUGGUGUUCAUAUGUGAAACAAUCUUGGUUAGAUGGAUGUUCUAGUAGUGGUUUAAGUAAAGUUUGCUGUAGUAAGUUGAACAAUGGUUGUAUAAUUACGUAGUAGCUUAUAAUAUGUAGCAAUAAGACUGAACUCCUAUGAUGCUCGUACCUGAGAAUAAAACUGAGUAGUAACAAUAGUUCAAAACAACCUUAUCUUAUUAAGUCAUGCGUCCAGGUGUUUGAUUUGGUUGAGCUGUUAAUCUAGCUCAGCCUGUAAAUUAGUUUGAUAGCU